rnacentral:rRNA from 1 species
GGUUGCGAUCAUACCAGCACUAAUGCACCGGAUCCCAUCAGAACUCCGUAGUUAGGCGUGCUUGGCGAGAGUAGUACUAGGAUGGGUGACCCCCUGGGAAGUCCUCGUGUUGCAACCC